rnacentral:rRNA from 1 species
AAGGGGAAGGCUCACAUAGAGGCAGCAGUAAAGAAUCUUGUGCAAUGCACGAAAGUAUGACACAGAGAGGACACAUUUAAUUGAGCCCGUCAAAUUAAGUGCCAGCUGACGCGGUUAAACUUAAGGGCUGGUCUUUAUAAGUAAAAAGGCGUAGAGGAUGUGUAGGCCAAGAAAUUAUCUAAGAAGGUAAAUGGAAUUUUUCUGGAGCGGUAAAAUGUGAAGAUAGAAAAUAGAACACCUAAGGUUAAAACUAUUUACCACAAAAUAGGCUGAAACAUGAGAGAGUGGGGAGCAAACAGGAUUAGAGACCCUGGUAGUCCACUCUGUAAACUUUGAAGAUUAUGUUUAGCAGGCCCGAAAGGUAAAAUCUUCCGCCUGAGUAGUACGAUCGCAAGAUUAAAAUUCAAAAACUUUGGCUGUUCACUACUUCGAUUAGAGGAGCGUGUAGUUUAAUUCGAUGGUCCGCGCGUUACCUUACCCCAGCUUGAAUCUAUGACCGGUAUUGCAUGGCCGUCGUAAGUCCCUGUGUUAAACUAAAAGGGACCCAAUCCAGGCGUUUGCCUGAAGGAAGUCAGGUCUUAUGAUCCGAAUGUUGGGGGAUUUGUGCGCUACAUUUUCUUAUAUAAUGAGAAACUUGAAAGGUAGGCCUCUAAAGUAAGAGUUCGGAAGGUCGCUGUAAAACGAUUGGAAGUUGGAUUUAAUAGUAAUCGGAAAGUAGAGCGUUCCGGUGAAUUGGUACAAGUGUUAGCACAAAUUGCCCGUCGUCUUUUCUUAGAAUGGGUUCUUUGGAUGCUUUUGGUGGUACGAAGCCUACGAGAA